UACGUAGGGUGCAAGCGUUAAUCGGAAUUACUGGGCGUAAAGCGUGCGCAGGCGGUUUUGUAAGUCAGAUGUGAAAUCCCCCGGGCUUAACCUGGGAACUGCGUUUGAAACUACAAGGCUAGAGUGUGACAGAGGGGGGUGGAAUUCCACGUGUAGCAGUGAAAUGCGUAGAGAUGUGGAGGAACACCGAUGGCGAAGGCAGCCCCCUGGGUUAACACUGACGCUCAGGCACGAAGGCGUGGGGAGCAAACAGG
rnacentral:rRNA from 1 species